UACGUAGGGGGCAAGCGUUGUCCGGAUUUAUUGGGCGUAAAGAGCGUGUAGGCGGCCAUGCAGGUCCGUUGUGAAAACUGGAGGCUUAACCUCCAGACGUCGAUGGAAACCGUAUGGCUAGAGUCCGGAAGAGGAGAGUGGAAUUCCUGGUGUAGCGGUGAAAUGCGCAGAUAUCAGGAGGAACACCAAUGGCGAAGGCAGCACUCUGGGACGUGACUGACGCUGAGACGCGAAAGUGUGGGGAGCGAACAGG
rnacentral:rRNA from 1 species